rnacentral:rRNA from 1 species
UUGGAGGGCAAGUCUGGUGCCAGCAGCCGCGGUAAUUCCAGCUCCAAUAGCGUAUAUUUAAGUUGUUGCAGUUAAAAAGCUCGUAGUUGAAUUUCGGGGUUCUACCGUUGGUCAGGCAAUAGUCUGUACUGGCGUGUGGAAUUUCUACCUUCUGGGGAACCAUCAUGUUAUUUAUUUAGCGUGGUGGGAAACCAGGACCUUUACCUUGAAAAAAUUAGAGUGUUCAAAGCAGGCUUACGUCUGAAUACAUUAGCAUGGAAUAAUAAAAUAGGACGGUGGUCCUGUUUUGUUGGUUUCUGAAUCACCGUAAUGAUUAAUAGGGAUAGUUGGGGGCAUUAGUAUUCAAUUGUCAGAGGUGAAAUUCUUGGAUUUAUUGAAGACUAACUUCUGCGAAAGCAUUUGCCAAGGAUGUUUUCAUUAAUCAAGAACGAAAGUUAGGGGAUCGAAGACGAUCAGAUACCGUCGUAGUCUUAACCAUAAACUAUGCCGACUAGGGAUCGGACGAUGUUAAUUUUUCUUGACUCGUUCGGCGCCUUACGGGAAAC